GAUGAAGAACGUAGCGAAAUGCGAUACGUAAUGUGAAUUGCAGAAUUCAGUGAAUCAUCGAAUCUUUGAACGCAUAUUGCGCUCUCUGGUAUUCCGGAGAGCAUGCUUGUUUGAGUAUCAGUAAACACCUCAACUUCCAUAUCUUUUUUGAAAUGGGAGUUGGACUUGAGUGAUCCCAACGCUUUUCCUCACCGAAAAGUGGCGGGUUACUUGAAAUGCAGGUGCAGCUGGACUUUUCUCUGAGCUAUAAGCAUAUCUAUUUAGUCUGCCUAAAAAACAGAUUAUUACCUUUGCUGCAGCUAACAUAAAGGAGAUUAGUUCUUGUGCUGACUGAUGCAGGAUUAACAAAGACAGCUUCGGCCGACUUUGUAAACUCGAUCUCAAAUCAAGUAAGACUACCCGCUGAACUUAAGCAUAUCAAUAAGCGGAGGA
rnacentral:misc_RNA from 1 species